AAGCAAGGAGAUGUGAAAGUGUAUGGUAAUAAUUUAGAACGCUCUGGGUGAACGGCUCGCUCCGGAGCACAUAUACUAGAACACUCUGGGUGUUGUAGGAUUAUGGGGUUCCAGACAUGCUUUCUCAAAAUAUGGCACACCUUGGCAUAUUGCAUACUUCAAGUUGGAGGAAUUUAAGAAUUGGCAUGUGCAGGACCUGACUUUCUGAUCGCAUCCUGAAGCAGAUCGUAAUGCCUUCAUGGAAGAGGUGCCCGCCCUCCCUAUAACUGGAGGAAAGGAGCAUCCUUAUUUGGGAAAACAAAACGACACACACACAGAGGAAUCUGGAUGAACAAGCCUUGCUAAGUUUCUCCCUGUUUACUACACACAGCUCACACUCUUUGCCCUAUCACACCUUUCCACGGCUGUCCACUCUUCAUCAAACCUCGUGUAAAAGGCUCAGGAUUAACUGCUUCUUAAGGUCUUUCUGUCUUUAUUAAGGCUCCAGUGUCAGAAUUCAUCUUGAACUAAAGUCAACUAAAAUACAGAUGCUUAAUUCUUCGGACUCAUUAGACAAGCCCGUAUUGACCAUCAUAAUUUUUCAGGCUCAUUACCUUUAUUGACCACCAUAUUUGAAGCUCUACACAACUUAAAGGAAAGCUGAAGAAAAGAAUGUUUCGGGUAUUUCUCCGUGCCUCUAGAGAGCAGAGGACAAGGAAAAGAAAUGGGUACAAAGAGGACAAAAGCUGUAUUUCUCACAUGCAAACAGGUUUUUCUGUGGAGAAGGACAUUCUAAUUCCCAAGAAGUCAAUUAACAAUGGACUCUCAAAGAUCUUCACAGUAAGUUUCAUUCUAACCAAAAGCAAACCUAGUGAAAAAACUGUUAACACAGAAUAUAAAUAACUGAAGCAAAGGAUUGGAUUGUUCUGAUUUUGUCUGUCCUGUCACAUGUGAUGGGGAUUGAUGCUUAAAUGAUUCCAUGACUGGCCUUUACUGCUUUCCUAUGAAGAAUCACUAGAUUCAUAGUAUUUCUUUCCACCAAAUAUUGGAGGGGAA